ensembl:lncRNA novel transcript
GAAACAAUGCAACCACCAUUCUCAAACUUCAGUGAGUAGAAGAAUCAUGGCAGCUUGCUAAAAUGCCCGAGUCUCAUCUCAGAUAUUCUGAUUCAGGAUGACUGAGGUUACCACCUCAUUGGUUGCUGCAUAUCUGCAUAACCACACUGAAGCAUCCAGGCGCUUUCUGUGUGAAAGGCAGUUGAGAGAAGUUGGGGCUUGGCAUCUGAGCAGAACCUUGACUCUCUUCAAAAGGGGGCUGACACACUGGAGAAACCCUGGAGACCAACAGCUGGCUUGCACAAAACUCGGACCUCAUUGCUCUUCAAAUAUUUAUGAAUAAUUUUCUUCAACGUGUUUGCUAACUGUUAAGAAUAUUAGUUUUUGCUGGUCUUCUUACUCAUGGCCCAUCUGAAGUCCCCUGGCCUGACCCUCCUGUGAAGUCAUCCCGCUGAACGGGCGCCACCGGGUCGGGGCAUUGCCAUAGUGUCAGCCCACGGGGCCAUAAACACAGGCUUUGCUGGAUCCCUGCCCCUUCAACUGGGGGAGGCUGGGUGGUAAGAUGAGAAGGCGCCUUCCUUCCAGCCCAUUUUCUCCAAAGCAGCAAGUUUCGAGAACGUCACAUUUGAUACAUGGCAUAGAAGAGGAAUAUCCUCAAACACAACUUUCGGGUGAUUAUCUCCUAUCCUAAGUGCCAUCUGUAUGGUAUUAUGCUUAUGUGACUGCA